rnacentral:rRNA from 1 species
UACGUAGGGAGCAAGCGUUGUCGGAAUCAUUGGGCGUAAAGCGCGCGUAGGUGGCUUCGUAAGUCCGUUGUGAAAGUCAAAGGCUCAACCUUUGAAUGCCGAUGGAUACUGCAGAGCUAGAGUACGGAAGAGGCGAGUGGAAUUCCUGGUGUAGCGGUGGAAUGCGCAGAUAUCAGGAGGAACACCAAUAGCGAAGGCAGCUCGCUGGGACGUUACUGACACUAAGGCGCGAAAGCGUGGGGAGCGAACAGG